rnacentral:rRNA from 1 species
AAUGGACGAGAGUCUGAACCAGCCAAGUCGCGUGCAGGAAGAAUGUCCUAUGGAUUGUAAACUGCUUUUGCAGGGGAAUAAAGUGCAGGACGUGUCCUGUUUUGUAUGUACCCUGAGAAUAAGGAUCGGCUAACUCCGUGCCAGCAGCCGCGGUAAUACGGAGGAUCCGAGCGUUAUCCGGAUUUAUUGGGUUUAAAGGGUGCGUAGGUGGUUUGAUAAGUCAGCGGUGAAAGUUUGCAGCUUAACUGUAGAAAUGCCGUUGAAACUGUCUGACUUGAGUGUAAAUGAGGUAGGCGGAAUGCGUGGUGUAGCGGUGAAAUGCAUAGAUAUCACGCAGAACUCCGAUUGCGAAGGCAGCUUACUAAGCUACAACUGACACUGAAGCACGAAAGCGUGGGGAUCAAA